rnacentral:rRNA from 1 species
UAGGGAAUCUUCGGCAAUGGACGAAAGUCUGACCGAGCAACGCCGCGUGAGUGAAGAAGGUUUUCGGAUCGUAAAACUCUGUUGGUAGAGAAGAACGUUGGUGAGAGUGGAAAGCUCAUCAAGUGACGGUAACUACCCAGAAAGGGACGGCUAACUACGUGCCAGCAGCCGCGGUAAUACGUAGGUCCCGAGCGUUGUCCGGAUUUAUUGGGCGUAAAGCGAGCGCAGGUGGUUUAUUAAGUCUGGUGUAAAAGGCAGUGGCUCAACCAUUGUAUGCAUUGGAAACUGGUAGACUUGAGUGCAGGAGAGGAGAGUGGAAUUCCAUGUGUAGCGGUGAAAUACGUAGAUAUAUGGAGGAACACCGGUGGCGAAAGCGGCUCUCUGGCCUGUAACUGACACUGAGGCUCGAAAGCGUGGGGAGCAAACAGGAUUAGAUAGCCCUGGUAGUCCACGCGUAAACGAUGAGUGCUAGAUGUAGGGAGCUAUAAGUUCUCUGUAUCGCAGCUAACGCAAUAAGCACUCCGCCUGGGGAGUACGACCGCAAGGUUGAAAC